GCCGCCGCAGCAGCAGCCGCAGGAGGCGCACCAGCAGCCGCCGCCGCCGCCUCGGCCCGGAAGUGAUGUAGCCGCGCCAGGCCCGAGCCCCGCGGGCCGCCGCUGCCGCUGCUCUUGAACCGCACGAAGCAGCUCGCCAAGCAGACCGUGGGCAGGGGCUGACUGCUGCGAGGCUUGGUAUUCUGCCCAAAGAUGUCCCUGGACAUCCACAGCUGGGCUUCUGUCAGCUCUGGAAACAACAAGGACAGGCCAGGGCGAAGGUGCUUCGGCAUUUAGAGCUGGAGCCUCUCGGCGCGUGAACAAAGCCUGUUUGAGGCACCCCGUUUGAAGCCCUACUGAAUCCAUGAUGGCCGAGUCCUACCUUAAUUGGCAACCAUCUGCCUCCUACAGCAGUUCACGGGGAGCUCAUGCCAGCAUUUAGGCAGCUUCCUAUUUUGCAAAUGAUUUGUGAUUCAUAAUGAACAAAAGAUUGCUCUUCAGGUGACCUGUCAGGGCUGCAUCCCAUCAGCCAUCAAGCUUCACGACGUCCGUGUUCCUGUGCUUGAACAUAUCCAGUUAAGAGUUUCCUUAUCAGGAUUCUGUCCACCUCUCGGCGUCAGUGAGUUCAUUAAUUGCUUCUGCGCAUCAUCCGGUAUUUCCUGUUGGACCUCAUUUUGUGUUUUGAAUUCUUCAGUUUGGUCUUCCUUCGGAUCCAAGACAGCAUCCGCUUCGGUUAACUGUCCCUGCAAUGACAUCAGUUUUCCUUGUAGGGUGUCCGCUUUUUCCAUCCAUUGGGCUGCUUCCAGCUUUAGCUUAGCUAGUGCUCCAGCGUGCUGCUUUUUUCUUGUUCCUGGGAGGCAGAAAGCCAGAAUACGCUUUCAUCUUUUUGCCUGGUGACCACGUGUAAUUGCUCCUGCGGUGACGCUGUCUGCGGACUGGCUCGAUGGCUCGCAUUGUCCAUUGCGUUGGAAGACACAACUAGCUUCUCCUCCAAUACCAUGGUCUUCUUUCUUAGUUUAGCCGCUCCGUGUUCUGCGGCCAAAGCACCGCGCUGACGAGAAUCUUCGGAUCCCAAAGCGUGGCGCUGUGAUCUCUCCAGCUCCUGCUUUAGGUGUCAUUCUUUUUCACGUGGAUGUUGGAUCUCAUUCUGGAGGGCACAGGUUUCCAUUUCUUUGUUCCGGGGCCCACAUGACUUCAUCUCUCCUCCCGCUGGCACAUGGCUGUCUUGUCCUGAAUUGAUGUAACUGCAUUUACAAGCUGAUGUAAUUCCCCGGUCUUGCCCUGUUCUUUGUCUUUCAGUAGCCCUUUCGAAGCAAGCACCUUCUCUUUCGUUGGAGCACGCUAGGAUUCUUCCUCUCUCUGCACCAUUAAAAGCUGCGUAUUUGUCUCUGGUAGUGCUUGAUUUUGUGUCUCCCGUUCUCUAGACGUUUCCACUCUUGUUUCAUUGUCCUGUUUUAGUUUACACACGUCCAUUUCAAAAUUUGAUAGUCUCUCCUUCAGAUUUGUUACUGCCUGCCUCCAAAGUUCCUUUUCACCCACUUCGCCGGUGAAGUUCUCGUUCAGGGGAAGCAAUUCAUCACGUUUUCUGCUUUGGGAAAACAGGAGCUGUUUUUCCUGAAGUAAGUUUGGUAAAACAUCUCGCUUCUCCUUGAGCUGCUUGAUCUCCGAAUCGGGGUGUUCGUGGUGUUUUCUUUCCAGUUCUGAAGGGGCAGCAGUCGAAGCAGACAGUCUCUGGUUAUCGUCCUGGAGGGUUCUCAUUGUGGCAUCUUUCUUCCUGCAUUGACUUUCUGAGCUCCUCUACCUCUUAAUGGAGCAAUCGAGAAGACUCACUCGGAUACACCAGACUUAAUUGCCUUAAGAGAGCCUGCUGACUCGGAUGAUUCGGUGGAGGGCUGGAACGAAAUGAUGGCGAAUUUCCCUAAAAGCAGAUCCUUGCCAUUGCAAAGCUCCGCGGUGCUAAGCUGAAUUUGUGUCAGUCCUGUCUCUGAAUUUUUUUAGUUUGAUUUCGUUUCCUUCGUGACUCUGGACCAGGCCAAUACAGGUCAUCUGUAGUUUAGGAUUAUUGUCACGGUGAGUUUGGCAAAAUUGCCAAUAAAGCCUGACAUUCCUGCCUUAAUGCAUCCACUCCAGUGUCUUUUUCUUGGAUACCGUGUGACAAAUUCUGAAUCGUUUCUCUAGACACGUCCUGGUCGCUAGACUCGAUUCUAGUGAAUAUUUUCAUCUUACAGCUUCAUGAGAUAUGCUUCUUUGGCAACAAUUCUAUCUGUCAUUUUGUGAUACUCUCUGUUCAGAUUGCUGUUUUCCCUAGUUCUCCUGUAAGGCAGCUAAUACUUGUUCUCUUUCCAAAGCAUACCUUGCAAUUGCCGGUGAAGGUAUUCCACAUUCUAGUUGUAGGAAGCCACAGACGUCCUGCUGGGGCGGUCCUCUAUCUCCAAAUCUUUUUGCCGGAUAAUCUGAGUUAGUUUACCAGUCUCAUCUUUGGAUAGGUGAUCAAUCUGUUCAGUUAAUCAGAUGUUCUUUUCAGUGAGGAGUUUAAUCUCCAGUUCUUUUUUUUUUUAUGUUUUUUUUUUUUAUUUUUAAUCUCCAAUUCUUGUCCUUUUGUUCCUUUUACUUAAUCUUUCAGUUUCAGCUUUAGAUAAAUCAUGCUUUUCACUUCCGUUUUUCUACAGGAAGAUGCUGAAUCGUUGUUACUUGGAAAACAUCAGAAUGUUUUGUAGGAAUGUGCUGGGUUUUUUAAGGAUCUGGGUUUUCAUUUCCUCUAUUGUGUUCUGCAAAAUCUUAAUCUCCUCAUCUUUCGCUGAAAGGAGCUGAGCGUGUUUAAUGGUCAUUUGCUCAUGCUGGUGUGUGAGAUCCUCUACCCUCCGUUUCUGGUCUUGUAAAAAACGAAGCCAUUGUAGCUUACCCUGGCGUUGAUCCUCAAUGAUCUUUUGUUCUUGUUUGAUUUCGUCUUCCAGACGAACUCUUUCUACAUUCAGCUGAUACACCUCGCAUUCUAGUUCUGUGAUACGGUCUUGCGUUUGCGGGUCGACCACAGGUACAGUUUGGCUGUCUUCUCUCAGACACUCCAGUUCGUCUUGCAGAAAUUCAUUCUCUUCUCUCGUGGUUGCAAGACGAAUGUCUUGCUCCUCCACGGUUUGCUGUAAAAUUUCAUUUUCUCUUAAGACUUGGACGUACUUCUCUAAUAGCUCCUGGAGCUCUGGCCUUCUUUCAAGUUUUUCGAUACAGAUUUCUUUCUCUUUAAUAAGUUGUGUCAAUCGCUUAUGCUCCUCCAGAGCAGAGGAGAGCAUGUCCUUAGUUUCUCUAUGGUCGGCAUCCAUCUGCUCCACACUCUUUUUGAGUUGUAGUAUUUCAUCAUCUUUGUCUUGACUGAGUUGAAUUAAACACUCCUGCUCUAACUGGGAGGAGGAUUUAGACAAGUUAUACGUGUUGGUCAGUUCUUUAAUAGCUUGCUCA